rnacentral:rRNA from 1 species
UCCUACGGGGGGCAGCAGUCGGGAAUAUUGCGCAAUGGAGGAAACUCUGACGCAGUGACGCCGCGUAUAGGAAGAAGGUUUUCGGAUUGUAAACUAUUGUCCACAGGGAAGAAAAAAGACUGUACCUGUGAAGAAAGCUCCGGCUAACUACGUGCCAGCAGCCGCGAUAAUACGUAGGGAGCAAGCGUUAUCCGGAUUUAUUGGGUGUAAAGGGUGCGUAGACGGGAAAUUAAGUUAGUUGUGAAAUCCCUCGGCUCAACUGAGGAACUGCAACUAAAACUGAUUUUCUUGAGUGCAGGAGAGGU